UUUAUGUGUACAAUAUUGUGUAAUUUCUUAGAUUAUUUAUGUGUUUCCCCCACAGAAUAAGAGAUGUGUUUGGACCAGACAGAGCUCUGGGACGUGUGGACAGACAUUCACUGUGAUGAUGGACAUCUCCUCAUGGACAGAUAGACAGAAGAGGAGUAUCUCCAGUGAUCUGAGUUAGAGAGGGUCGAUCCAAACGGUAAGAACCUCAUGCUUGUGCAGAUUCUGUUCAGCCAAAUUAACAACCCCAGUUUAGGUGAUUUAAUUUCAACCAGACUUUAAUAAUCAACCAGUCAUCAUAAAUAGG
ensembl:lncRNA